rnacentral:rRNA from 1 species
AGAGUUUGAUCAUGGCUCAGAACGAACGCUGGCGGCGUGCUUAACACAUGCAAGUCGAACGCGAAAGUUUUCUUCGGAAAGCGAGUAGAGUGGCGCACGGGUGAGUAACGCGUAAGUUAUCUACCCUUCCAUCUGGAAUAACUCACCGAAAGGUGUGCUAAUACCGGAUACGCUGGAAACAGGAAAGAUGGCCUCUUUUUAUGCUAUCGUGGAAGGAUGAGCUUGCGUACCAUUAGCUUGUUGGUGGGGUAAUGGCCUACCAAGGCGACGAUGGUUAGCGGGUCUGAGAGGAUGAUCCGCCACACUGGAACUGGAACACGGACCAGACUCCUACGGGAGGCAGCAGUGAGGAAUAUUGCGCAAUGGGGGAAACCCUGACGCAGCGACGCCGCGUGGAUGAUGAAGGCCUUCGGGUCGUAAAAUCCUGUCAGAAGGAAAGAAGUGUAUCAUACCUAAUACGUGUGAUAUUUGACGGUACCUUCAAAGGAAGCACCGGCUAACUCCGUGCCAGCAGCCGCGGUAAUACGGAGGGUGCAAGCGUUGUUCGGAAUUACUGGGCGUAAAGCGCGCGUAGGCGGCUUUUUAAGUCAGAUGUGAAAGUCCACGGCUUAACCGUGGAAGUGCAUUUGAAACUGGAAGGCUUGAGUACUGGAGGGGGUGGUGGAAUUCCCGGUGUAGAGGUGAAAUUCGUAGAUAUCGGGAGGAAUACCGGUGGCGAAGGCGACCACCUGGCCAGAUACUGACGCUGAGGUGCGAAAGCGUGGGGAGCAAACAGGAUUAGAUACCCUAGUAGUCC